rnacentral:rRNA from 1 species
AAAAUACGGGAGGCAGCAGUGGGGAAUAUUGGACAAUGGACCAAGAGUCUGAUCCAGCAAUUCUGUGUGCACGAUGAAGUUUUUCGGAAUGUAAAGCACUUUUGGCGGGAACGAAAAGGACCGUGCCAAUACCAUGGUCUGAUGACGGUACCCGCAGAAUAAGCACCGGCUAACUACGUGCCAGCAGCCGCGGUAAUUUU